rnacentral:rRNA from 1 species
UGGGGAAUUUUGGACAAUGGGGGCAACCCUGAUCCAGCCAUCCCGCGUGUGCGAUGAAGGCCUUCGGGUUGUAAAGCACUUUUGGCAGGAAAGAAACGUCAUGGGCUAAUACCCCGUGAAACUGACGGUACCUGCAGAAUAAGCACCGGCUAACUACGUGCCAGCAGCUGCGGUAAUACGUAGGGUGCAAGCGUUAAUCGGAAUUACUGGGCGUAAAGCGUGCGCAGGCGGUUCGGAAAGAAAGAGGUGAAAUCCCAGGGCUCAACUUUGGAACUGCAUUUUUAACUACCGGGCUAGAGUGUGUCAGAGGGAGGUGGAAUUCCGAGUGUAGCAGUGAAAUGCGUAGAUAUGCGGAGGAACACCGAUGGCGAAGGCAGCCCCCUGGGAUAACACUGACGCUCAUGCACGAAAGCGUGGGGAGCAAACAGG